ACUGUCCUAUGUUCCGUUCGCGGAACAAAUCUUUUCCGUGUGAGGGACAAUGGAGGCUGUGGAAGGCGUUGAGGUACGAGAACGCCGAAAGAUUGAGCAUGAACCUGACCGGCUCGCAGCCGAGGUGGCCGGAACAACGGGGAACAUCGCCUGCGGGCCCCCUCUCUCCGGGACCUCCUACUGGCUGGACAUCUGGCUGAUGAUCCUCUUCGACCUCGUGCUUUUCGUCUUCGUUUACCUGCUACCUUAGCGGCAGCACCAAGGGCAGACAACCAGACUGCCUUCAAGAAAAACCAGCCAAUAUUACUCCUUUAGCUGGUUUUGCUUCAGAACCCAAAAUAAAAGAACAUUGGAAAACUGUUACUUCAGAAUUUUCAAUAACAACUACUCUUUCUGUAUUUGAACUGUUGAGAUAUUUUUGCUGGUGAACUUCCUCUGUGAACUGUCAUGUUUCACAUUAUUCGUCAAUAAGUGCAGAUUGUGUCUUACGUUAAAUAUAACACUGACAUUGAAGUGACUUUCAAUUAAGUUUGAAGUUGUUUAUUUUCAGCAAUCAACUCUGGACUGGAGACAGAUCUCUGUAACAAUAAUUUAUGAUGAACUAGCAUAAAAUGAGAAAAUGUAAACUGAUCAAUUCUGAGCACUGUUUUAGCUGCUUUUAUGUAAAGAAGUUGCAUAUAUUCUUCUCAUAUGCUCUGUUUUAAAGUACUUUGUGCUUUCAGCUUUGUGCCUUCAGCAGCAACGUGUGCUUGGACUACUAUGUCGAUGGUGUUUUUAUGGUCAUUUUUAUAGUAUGUAAACAGACCAACCACCUGAACAAAUUUUGCUGUGUCUAAUGUGGUUCUGAUCCCCAUUAUGCUUUGGAUUUGCCCUUUUGGAGUUUCAUGUUCUAAAAGUAGAUUGAAAAGUAAGUCUGUAGACAUUCCUGUUAAUUUUCAUAAUUGAAAUGCUUUUCUUUCAAUCAGUUUUGUGCUCCUCUCUCAAUAUAUGAACUGAACAUUUAUUUACAUUUAUAUCCUAGAGAAAAUGGAUUCUCCCCAUUUUUGUCAGGCUGGGACCAAGGGCUUUAAGCAUUGAAUUAAUUACAUUCUACUUGGGUUGUAAAAAAUUAUUGCGUUGAGCACAAGACCUGAAGCAUUGGUAGAAGUAGAGUGAAGUUCAUUUGAUAUUGAGAUCGAACUUGGGCUUAUUUUCAUUCAGAAACUUUGGAGGGGGAUUCUUGAACUAAAAAUGUCAGAAAUUUGAGGGCGAGGGCUAUAUUUAAAGAAUUGCUAUUCAACCUACAUAAGUAGGUGUCACUUCCUCUACAAGAAUUUACUGUAUAGCCAAGCAGUAAAGUCUGAAGUGACUGAAUCAAAUAUAUUAAUAAAUAUCAUAACUUGCAUUCUUUGUCCUAAGUUAAUAUUCUAAAUUUGUUCUUCCCUCAACUAAUAAUGAAAUAAACAAACCUUCAAUUAUGUAAA